UACGGAGGGUGCAAGCGUUAAUCGGAAUUACUGGGCGUAAAGGGUGCGCAGGCGGUUGAGUAAGACAGAUGUGAAAUCCCCGAGCUUAACUCGGGAAUGGCAUAUGUGACUGCUCGACUAGAGUGUGUCAGAGGGAGGUGGAAUUCCACGUGUAGCAGUGAAAUGCGUAGAUAUGUGGAAGAACACCGAUGGCGAAGGCAGCCUCCUGGGACAUAACUGACGCUCAGGCACGAAGGCCAGGGGAGCGAAAGGG
rnacentral:rRNA from 1 species